rnacentral:rRNA from 1 species
GGAGAUGGGAAAGCUACUCUUUUCUGGGAGGAUAGAUGGAUCAUGGGCGGGCGAGUCAGAGAUAUAGCACCAAUAAUAUACGGUCGGGUUCCAAAACGUGUGCGGCAAUCUAAGUUGGUGGCGGAGGUGUUGCGGGAUGGCAGUUGGGCACUGCAUGUUGGCAUAGAACUGUCACUGGAGGCCCUGGAUCAAUACCUCCUCCUGUGGACUUGCGUUUCAAGCAUUACACUCGAUGAUGAAACUCCAGACUCUAUGAGCUGGACAUGGGAGAGCAGUGGAUGUUUUUCAACUCGUUCGGAUUAUGUGGUGGGGUUCUCCGGAUGGCAAGUUUCACCAACUACGGACUUCACCUGGCAAUCCAAGGCACCGCUACGGUGUCGUUUUUUCAGUUGGCUAGCCCUAAAGGAUAGAUGUUGGACGUCGGAUAGGCUUGCACGGCGCGGCCUACCUCACCAAGCAGCCUGCCCCAUGUGUGAUCAGCAACAAGAGACUAUGCAGCACCUGAUGUUGGAAUGUAGCUUUGCGAAAUAG